GACGAACGCUGGCGGCGUGCUUAACACAUGCAAGUCGAACGGAAAGGCCCUGCUUUUGUGGGGUGCUCGAGUGGCGAACGGGUGAGUAACACGUGAGUAACCUGCCCUUGACUUUGGGAUAACUUCAGGAAACUGGGGCUAAUACCCGAUAGGAGCUCCUGCUGCAUGGUGGGGGUUGGAAAGUUUCGGCGGUUGGGGAUGGACUCGCGGCUUAUCAGCUUGUUGGUGGGGUAGUGGCUUACCAAGGCUUUGACGGGUAGCCGGCCUGAGAGGGUGACCGGCCACAUUGGGACUGCGAUACGGCCCAGACUCCUACGGGAGGCAGCAGUGGGGAAUAUUGCACAAUGGGCGGAAGCCUGAUGCAGCAACGCCGCGUGCGGGAUGACGGCCUUCGGGUUGUAAACCGCUUUCGCCUGUGACGAAGCGUGAGUGACGGUAAUGGGUAAAGAAGCACCGGCUAACUACGUG
rnacentral:rRNA from 1 species